UACCCAACCACCCCAAAAUUCUACUGCCUCUUUCUUCUUCCCCUACAACUUAAGUUGAUUUUUCUGCCAGAGAAAUAAUAAUUAGGGUUUCACUGAACUUGUCCAAGGAAUGAUGGUGCUUCAGAAGUUGAUAAGAAGAAUGUCAAGUGGAGAAGAAGAUCAUUCUUUCAUGUCCAAAAGCUCACCAGGAGGAGGAUAUAGGGUCCUCACCUUUCAGUCAUGGCCUGAUUUACAGCAGUAAAGAAGUUUCUGUUUGGACGAACUCCUUUCCCCUGAUUCUUGGCUUGUUUGCCAAGAAAUUAAUGGAGGAAACUGAAAUAAACUAUGGAAUGUUAGCUCCUCCAGGUUGAGCAGCGAAAGAGAUAUAAUUUUGUAUUUCCGUUGUUUUUUUCCUUGCUUUGAUCUUUAUUAUGCACUUUGCUAGUGUGCUCCAUGACUGUAAGAGACAUCGAUCGUCGUUGUAUAACACAACUGGUUUUCUGGUUUUUCUCUGUUUCUCAUUGAUUAAUGAAUCGUUGACUUGACACCGCA